GUCCAGACUCCUACGGGAGGCAGCAGUGGGGAAUAUUGCACAAUGGGGGAAACCCUGAUGCAGCGACGCCGCGUGAGCGAUGAAGUAUUUCGGUAUGUAAAGCUCUAUCAGCAGGGAAGAAAAUGACGGUACCUGACUAAGAAGCCCCGGCUAACUACGUGCCAGCAGCCGCGGUAAUACGUAGGGGGCAAGCGUUAUCCGGAUUUACUGGGUGUAAAGGGAGCGUAGACGGCGAUGCAAGCCAGAUGUGAAAGCCCGGGGCUCAACCCCGGGACUGCAUUUGGAACUGUGUGGCUGGAGUGUCGGAGAGGCAGGCGGAAUUCCUAGUGUAGCGGUGAAAUGCGUAGAUAUUAGGAGGAACACCAGUGGCGAAGGCGGCCUGCUGGACGAUGACUGACGUUGAGGCUCGAAAGCGUGUGGAGCAAACAGGAUUAGAUACCCGGGUA
rnacentral:rRNA from 1 species